GGGUGGUAAUUUCAUCUAAAGCUAAAUAUUGGCCGGAGACCGAUAGCGCACAAGUAGAGUGAUCGAAAGGUUAAAAGCACCUUGAAAAGGGAGUUAAACAGCACGUGAAAUUGUUGAAAGGGAAGCGUUUGCGGCCAGACUCGGGCGUGAGGUUCAGCGGGUGCGUGUCACCCGUGCACUCCUCGCCGCCCGGGCCAGCAUCAGUUCUAACGGCCGGUCAAAGGCCCCCGGAAUGUGUCGUCUCUAGGGACGUCUUAUAGCCGGGGGUGCAAUGCGGCCCGUCGGGACUGAGGAACGCGCUUCGGCUCGGAUGCUGGCAUAAUGGCCGUAAACGGCCCGUCUUGAAACACGGAC
rnacentral:rRNA from 1 species